UACGAAGGGGGCUAGCGUUGCUCGGAAUCACUGGGCGUAAAGCGCACGUAGGCGGAUUGCUAAGUCAGGGGUGAAAUCCUGGAGCUCAACUCCAGAACUGCCCUUGAUACUGGCGGUCUCGAGUCCGGGAGAGGUGAGUGGAACUGCGAGUGUAGAGGUGAAAUUCGUAGAUAUUCGCAAGAACACCAGUGGCGAAGGCGGCUCACUGGCCCCGGUACUGACGCUGAGGUGCGAAAGCGUGGGGAGCAAACA
rnacentral:rRNA from 1 species